rnacentral:lncRNA from 1 species
AUAUUUCAUCUUUAAUGUCAUUACAGAUUGGAUUCCGCAGGGUAGAGGACUUAACUUCAGAUUAUCGGUGAAAAGUCAAGGAGCGUCCAAGAAUUAAUCAAGAUUCAAACAAACACAACAAACAGUAAAGAAAUGCAGAAAAUUGUAAAAUGUACACAAGAUUUUUCCGGUCGAAGCCCCAGAGGUUUGGUGACCACUUCUAAUGCCUAUUCUCCUGUUGAGCAUCCAUUAAAAUGGAUAAAGUUCGGUUGCACUAUAAAGCCCCAAAAAUCAAGCAACAAAAAUACAACAGUGUUUCAAAAAUUUACAAAGAACCAAAUAUAGAACUUAUCUUUUCUAGAACUACACAAGGCAACCACUAUUCCACACAGGAACUAACUGAGAUCACGAAGAUCAACCAACACAGAUUUUGCCCUCCAAACUGCCCUUUCUUGAACCACACAGGUUCAUACAAGACUCGGCACACAUUUAACCAAGGUAACUCUCAACAUUUAUCACUGGAACCCUCAAGAAAAAACCCUUUUCAUGAAGAAAAUGAAGUUCUCACACAGAGAAAAACGAGAACCCGAAUACGGUCUCAACACCAAGAAUAAUAUCCGAAAUCUUGCUUCCAGUUAAAUGAAUCACCCAAGAAUAAUAGAGAGUUAACACUCAGAGAAGAAGAGACAGGCAACUUCGAACCCUCGAGAAUAGCUCACGUCUUUUUGCCAAAAACCAAGAAUAAAGUCUCUGAAAUUUUCUUCUCUAACUGCCGAUCACAAAACAAGAGUAAUCACCAAUAAUAUCUUCAACAUAAGAACCCUAAAUCACCAAGAAAUUAGAGAUUCUCGAAGAGAAAGAAAGGGGCAAGUUCACGAGCUGAAGGAAAGAAAUAAUUUCUAAAUUUUUCUGUCAAAAACUGAAGUUGAACCUGUCCAUCAGAAUAGGUACCAGAUUUAUAUAUUAUAAGUCAUCAGAAUCUGAUCCAAUGGUCUCCAAGAUGCCAAGUGUCAAAAUCUUGUUAAUUGCCCUCACUAAUAGAGUUGUUAUUAUUGAAAGACACGUUUUCUUCAAUAAUUUUGGAAGCACUCUUCACACAAUAAAAAGUCAGCAGCUUAAUUUUUAACAAUCUUCACCUUGCUUCCAAAAUUUAAGGCUAUAGUGCACCCACAAGCUUCACCAACGUUUAUAAUGUCAUUUGAUCCAGGUACCUAUAAAAUCAAUUAAAAGAAUCAAUAGAUAACAUCUUUAAACAGUUUUGAAACUUAUUUAAAGGUAUUACCUUAGUUCCCAUAUCUGAUAGAUUAUACAAAGUAGGUAUUUUAUUUAUUUUCAACAAUCCUUUUGAUAUAAUAUCCCUUAUAAAGUGAUAUUUUACAUCAACAUGCUUCAUUCUAUCAUGGAAAUCAACAUGCUUCAUUCUAUCAUGGAACAUGGGAUUCUUACUCAAAUGGAUUGCACUUUGAUUGUCAGAAUAUAGUAUUGGAUUAGUGUCUACAAAACCAAGUUCAUUCAACAAACCAUGCAGCCAUAUGCCUUCUUUAAUGGCAUCAGUGGCAGCAAUAUAUUCAGCCUCCGUGAAAGAUAGAGCAACAAUUUUUUGUAACUAAGACUUCCAACUUAUCACAAUACCACACAAAGUGUAAAAAUAAGAUGAAGUUGAUUUUCUAUUGUCUCUAUUUCCAACAAAAUCAGAAUCUGUAUAACCUUUUAAAAUUACCCCUUCUUUGUCCAUUUUAAACACCAAACCCAAGUUAGGUGAACCCUUUAAGUAUCUCAAUAACCACUUCAAUGCUUCCCAUUGAAUUUCACUAGGAUUUCCCAUAAAUCUACUCAAAACACUAAUACUAAAAGCCAAAUCAAGUCUAGUGCAAACCAUUAAGUACAUGAUUGAACCAAUAGCAUUAGCAUAAGGAAUUUUAGACAUUCUUUCAAGUUCAUCUUCAGUUUUAGGACACGAAUCAGAUGUUAAUAUAAAGUGAUUAGAAAGGGGUAAAGUCACAGGUUUACAAUCAAACAUAUUAAACCUUUUUAGGAUCUUAUUCACAUAAUCUUAUUGACAUAAGAACAAGCAAUCAGAUCUCUCAUCUCUAAAAAUUUGCAUGCCAAGUAUUUUCUUAGCGGGACCAAGAUCCUUCAUUUCAAAUUCUGAUUUUAAUUUGUGUUUGAUAUCAUCAAUUUCAGAUUUAUUAGCACUAGCAAGAAGCAUAUCAUCAACAUAAAACACAAAAUACAAUGAAUCUUUACCUCCACUUCCUUUACAAUAAAGACAUGUAUCAUAAUUGCUUCUACUAAAUCCAAGUUUUAGGACAAAUGAAUCAAACUUUUAUACCAUUGUCUUGGAGCUUGUUUUAGGCCAUAUAAUGAUUUUUUCAACAAACACACAAUUUUUUCAAGAUUUCCUUUAGUAAAUCCUAGAGGCUGUCUCAUGUAAAUCACUUCAUCCAAUUCACUAUGCAAGAAUGUAGUUUUUACAUCUAGUUUAUCAAGAUUCCAUUUAAAUUGCACAACUAAAGCAAGAAUACAUCUUGUAGUUGUAUAUUUAACCACGGGGGAAAAAAUCUCAUCAUAGUCCACACCUUCUUUUUGUGUGAAACCCUUGACAACUAGUCUAGCUUUGUAUCUAACAUUAUUAGUGUCACAUUCCCCUUCCUUGAUUUUAUAAAUCCACUUGCAAUCAACUAGUUUCUUAUCCUUUGGUUUGUCAACCAAUUCUCAAGUUUCAUUCUUGUAUGAGGAAGACAUUUCUUCUUCCAUAACACUCAACCACCGCUUAGAAUUUUUAGAUUUCAAAGUUUCAUGAUAGGAACUAGGUUCAGAUUCAAUUUCUUCUUGGUAAGUGAACAAAGACACAAAGUCAUCACUAUUGAACCUAGCCGGUGGUCUAAUUUGCCUCAUAUCCCUAUCUCUAGUGAGCUGGUAUUCAUCUAGAGGUAUAUUUAUGUCAUCACAUAAAUCAGGUUAGACCAAAUCAGGCUAAUUCUCAUUCUGGUCAGCCUCAUUAGUUGCUGUUUCUAAGGGGACAGAACUAGUAUUUUCAAUUUUAAUAGGCUCCACCUUAAUUUGGACAUCAUUUUCAGUCAAAUUCUCCUUUUUUCCUUCCAAACAUGGCAUACAUGACUCAUUAAAGACCACAUCCCUUCUUAUGAAAACCCUGUAACCUUUUUCCUCAUAAAUCCACAACCUGUAACCUUUAACAUUUUCAGCAUAGCCAAAAAAACACUCAUAUAAGUGAUCUAGAUUCAAAUUUACCUAUGUUUUGAUGAGCAUAUGCAGCACAACAAAAUUUUUUCAAGUAAGAAGAAAUCACAAGCUUUUGUGUCCACACAGAUUCAGGCACAUCAAAAUUUAAAGCACUUGUAGGACUCCUAUUAAUCAAAUAUGCAGCAGUUUUAACAGUUUCACCCCAAAAUAAUUUGGGCAAGCCUGAACUUACAAGCAUGCGUCUAACUUUAUUCAACAAAGUCCUAUUCAUUCUUUCUGCAAUGCCAUUUUGUUGGGUUGUGUAUGUUACAAUUCUAUGUCUUAAGAUGCCAUGCAACUUGCAAAAAUCACUAAACUCAUAAUUGCAAAAUUCUAGUCCAUUGUCUAUUCUCAAAGUUUUGAUUUUCAAUUUGGGUUUUCCUAUUUUUAAAUGUAGUAAAUGUUUCAUCUUUAGCUUUCAAAAGAAAUACCCAAAUUUUUCUUGAGAAAUCAUCAAUAAUAAGCAAGUAAUACUUGUAACCAGACAAUGUAGGGGUGGAUGCAAGACCCCACAAAUUAGAAUGCAAAUAUUCUAGAAUUUGCUUUGAUUUAUGAGUACUAGUGUGAAAAUGUAAUUUAACUUGCUUUCCAAUCAAACAAUGUUCACAUUUAGCCAAUUCACCAAUAUUUGAUUUUCCAAAUACACCUUUAUUUUGUAAAGCCUUUAAACCUUUUACCCCAAUGUGACCAAGUCUACAAUGCCACAAUUUUACAAGAUUAAAUUCAUCAUUUAUAACUGCUAUUGUAAGACCCAAUAAAGGUUUUGCAUUUAGAAAGUAUAAACCAUGUCUCUUUAGGAUAGAAGUGAUCAAAACACUACCCUUAAAGAUUUUUAUGUGUCCUUGAACCAAUUUUAUGUCAAACUCCAUGUUAUCCAACAUUCCUAGAGACACAAGGUUUCUUUCUAAUUCAGGAACAAAUCUGGCAUCUUUUAAUAAUAAAAUUCUGCCAUUUUCUAAAAGCAAUUUUAUUGUUCCAAUACCUUUAACUUUGCAGGUUAUGUUGUUUUCCAUGAUAACUUGGCCUCCUUUUGUUUGUUCAAAAUCCAUAAAAUAGUUUUUAUUAGGGCACAUGUGAAAAGAGCAACCUGAAUCAAGAAUCCAUUCUUGAUUCACGUUCCUUUCAACAUUUACAAGAAUCAGGCAAUUAUCAAUUUGUUUCUUAUCAUAGGACAUAACAGCAUUACCUUCACUUAGCUUCUUUCCUUUCAAAUCAUUUUGCUUUUUAUAAUAAUCCUUUGCAAAGUGACCCAACUUACCACAAUAAAAACAUUUCUUUCCAUUUGCCUUAGUUUUGGAUUUCCUUUUGUCCUUGUUCCUUUUCUUAGGGUCAUUUUGAAAUUUUGAAUGAAAAUUAGAUUUGCCAACAUUUUUGCAUUUUAACAAAAGAUUUUCUCCACUUCGAUGGUUGAUAGAAUCUGAUUUUAAUUCAAGAACCCUAUUUCUUAAGGCAUUUAUAAUGAUAUCUGUGGUAAGCUCAUCUCUUCCAUAUUCCAAGGCAUUCUUUUAGAUCUCUAUGCGUAUCACUAAUGGAGUUUAACAAGACCACAGCCAGCUGAUCUUCUGAUAAUUUCUCAUCACAGUUGGCAAGGUCUUCGGUCAAUUUUGUAAAUCUGUCCAAGUUUUCAUCCAAGUCAACUGAAGGGUCCAUUUUGAAAGAAAAGAAUUGUUUAAGCAAAAAAUAUUUGUUUGGAACAGUUUUUUGCUCAUAUUGAGCUUUCAAUUUGGUCCACAAUUCUUCGGCAGUUUUAGUUUCACCUAUACACGUGAUCACAUUGUCCGAAAGGUACAAGAAAAUAGUACUCCACGCUAUUUCUUCUAACUCAGUUCUUUUAGCAACAGACAUUUCAGCAGGCCAUGAAUUAUCUAGGGCUUUAGCACAUUUCGUUUGGAUUAAGAUAGCCAUCAUUUUCUAGCUCCACAUAUUAAAGUCCUUCCUCCCGUUAAACAUGCUCAAUUCAAACUUAGUAGUAGCCAUGACAAGAUUCACCAAGAAAGUUCACAAUACACAAGUUUGAUUUCAAGAACACACAGGGACACACAAUAACAAUACUGCAGGCAGACUAGGGGAUCAGGGGCCAAUAACCAAUGCACUUAUACAAUUUUCACCAAAUAGUAAACACUUAACACUAAGUAUAAUAGGAAGAAUCACAAAGGACAGAGAUAUCAAUUCCUACAGACUCUAGAAUGUAGGAAAGAUCUCACCAAACGAGUUUGAUAAAACUCAAUAUCUACCAGCCAAUGUUUACUGCAGUUUGAAGGGAGGUUUCAGAAUCCAGUCAAUUCAUAGGAAUCAGAGAUGCUCCAAUAGUCCAAGAUUGCUCUGACACCACUGAAAAGUCAAGGAGCGUCCAAGAAUUAAUCAAGAUCAAACAAACACAACAAACAGUAAAGAAAUGCAGAAAAUUGUAAAAUGAACACAAGAUUUUUCCGGCCGAAGCCCCAGAGGUUCAGCGACCACUUCUAAUGCCUAUUCCCCUGUUAAGCAUCCAUUAAAAUGGAUAAAGCUCAGUUGUACUAUAAAGCCCCAAAAAUUAGGCAACAAAAAUACAACAGUGUUCCAGAAAUUUACAAAGAACCAAAUAUCGAACUUAUCUUUUCUAGAACUACACAAGGCAACCACUAUUCCACACAGGAACUAACUGAGAUCACAAAGAUCAACCAACACAGAUUUUGCCCUCCAAACUGCCCUUUCUUGAACCACACAGGUUCAUACAAGACUCGACACACAUUUAACCACGGUAACUCUCAACAUUUAUCACUGGAACCCUCAAGAAAAAACCCUUUUCAUGAAGAAAAUGAAGUUCUCACACAGAGAACAACGAGAACCCGUAUACGAUCUCAACACCAAGAAUAAUAUCCCAAAUCUUGCUUCUAGUUAAAUGAAUCACCCAAGAAUAAUAGAGAGUUAACACUCAGAGAAGAAGAGACAGGCAACUUCGAACCCUCGAGAAUAUCUCACGUCUUUUUGACAAAAACCAAAAAUAAAGUCUCUGAAAUUUUCUUCUCUAACUGCCGGUCACAAAACAAGAGUAAUCUCCAAUAAUAUCUUCAACAUAAGAACCCUAAAUCACCAGGAAAUUAGGGAUUCUCGAAGAGAAAGAAAGGGGCAAGUUCACGGGCUGAAGGAAAGAAAUAAUUUCUGAAUUUUUCUGUCAAAAACUGAAGCUGAACCUGUCCAGCAGAAUAGUCACCAGAUUUAUA